UCCGGGACAUUUCUAUUUGGACAUAAAAAAUUUGAAUUUUCUGACAUUUAUACGUGGAUUCAGCGUCUAUGUGAACAAAAAAUAUUCUCUCUCUCAUUCUAUGGUCCUUGAGCUUUAAUAACAGGGACAUUUUUAAAAUUGGUAGCAUUAGAAAAUGACAGUAAACAGCUGACUGAUGUAAACAAUAAUAUAACAAAGCAAAUGUUAUAAUUUUAACCCUAUGUAACCAACGUUCGCUCUAGAAGUGUGUACUAAUUGAUAAAGACAUGUUUAAGUUAUGUGAUAAGACGGGAAUGGGACAACACAGAAUCGCAGUACGUGUUCAGACUGGAAUAAGGUACUAUCAGGUACUGACUGUGGUUUGUGACUAAUUGUGAUAGCGAUUUAUUCCCCAAUUCUCCAUAUAUUUUGCCUCUAGGAGUGGACAACAAAGUGCAUAACCUCACUUAUCAAUAGUUUUGCAUCACCUUGUGCAUAUUUUGUGGAUUAGUGUACAAGUUGUUAUGAGUUACAAAUGGAGAGUCCACUGUUUACUUGUAAGUACUUUAACGAAAGUGCAAUUACUUUGAUAUUUUUUGUUUUUUUUAUGUGUAAGGUUGUUUUUUGUUUUUGUAUAAAAUCGAAACUAAACUAGAUCAGGAUAUUUGGACGGAAUAUCCGAGUGGGCCGGUUCGCAGCAGGAAUGCUUAAGGUCAUGUCCAAGUUUGGCGGGGAAAUGUUGAUAAUCCUCUGCAACCUUAUGUAUGCCGUAUCUACGCUUUCACGCUCGCCGACAUUUGCGAGUGGCUCAUGAGCACAGUGAGCAUAACGCCAGGUUUAAAAGUCUUCUUUUCUAUUGAACCCUUUGAUUCUUUUCCAAAAUACCGGCUCCCAACGCGAGCACUAUGAGCGGCGAGGUGAAUAAGGAGAGCAUCUGCAUCCCGAUUGGUAUCGCCACUCGUGCGAAUGUGUAGAUGCGACACCAUUUGUUUCUCCGUGUUAGUUGUGGUUGUGUCUUUCUGGGACACCUUCUCAUUGUUAUUUCAUUCUAACUACUCUGGAGUCUAUUAUCACCGGGAAUAUGGAGAGUACAAGAUGCCUCAAGCAUGAAGAUAACUAGAAAACUAGAACCCUAUAGCAAUCGAUUUUUGUUUGAGGCAAAUACGGUAUUAUGCCUUGUUGAAUGUUUUUUCAACGUGAUUAACUAGAGAGGCCCUACUUAUUGGUUCUAUCGUGAAUAUAUUGUAAGGGGCAGUUGCUUCCAUUUCACUUAGAAUCAUUCCAUCCAAAUAUUAGUUGUAAUGUGAGUAUUUAAACAAUAAGUAAGAGUUCCUUUUACUAAUUAAAAAUUUAAAUUCGUCUUUUUAAUGAAUGUGUCUGUAAGAUGUAGUGAUUAUGUGUUUUUUUUAUAAAAUAAACAGAGAAUAUAAAAUUUGUCAA